rnacentral:misc_RNA from 1 species
GAACGCACCUUGCACCCUUUGGACUCUCCAAAGGGUAUGCUCGUUUGAGUGUCAUUGUACUCUCACACUCUCUGAUCCUUUGGAUUUGGGGAGCGGUGGACUUGGGUGCUUGCUGCUUCCUUGUGGCUCACCUGAAAUGCGUCAGUGCAUCUCUUGAUUGGACAUAGUACGGCGUGAUAAGUAUCUUCGCCGGCACCUCGUAAGAGGGUGGCCGAUUGGGAGCUCUGUGCUUUCAAACCGUCUUCGGACAAUCUCUGACAACUUGACCUCAAAUCGAGUAGGACUACCCGCUGAACUUA